ACUAAGUUCUACAAUUAAUACUGUUUUCCUUUUCACAUUGGUUACUAAAAGCCAAAGACCAAAAUUUCAUUCAAAUCCUCAAGUAAAACAAAUAAGAGAAAUGAAAUCUAUUCUGAGUAUUAACUUUGCCCAUAGUUUUAAUUUAUUUUUUUCUUAGUCUUAUUUUCCUUUCUUAUUUAUUUAUUUAUUUUGGUACUAGGGAUGGAACCCAGGGGCACUCAACCACUGACCUUAAUCCCAGCCCUUUUUAUAUUUAUUUAUUUAUUUAUUUAUUUAUUUAUUUAUUUAUUUAUUUAUUUUAUUUGAGACAGGGUCUCACUAAGUUGCCCAGGCUGGCCUUGAACUUGUGAUCCUCCUAUCUCAGUCUCCUGAGUUGCUGGAAUUACAGGCAUGCACCACCACACCUGGAGCCUUAUUUUCUCUAAUUUUUUUGAUUUAGGAAAAAAGUUACAUGAUAUUUAUUCAUGUGUUCUACAAAUAAUCAUUGAACAAGCAGCACUUCAAGUGCUAGGGACAGAACAAUGAAUAAAACCAAUUCCUUGCUCUCAUGGAGCUGGCUUUCUAGUAAGGAAAGACAGGCCAAAAAAAAAAAAAAUGAAAUGAAACAAAAGUACAUUGGAAGGUGUUAGGUGUCGUGAGUUGAGAAAGUGAGGAGAUGGAGACUGAGAUACCAAUAGCACACAGAAAGGCUGCCAUUGUGGAAGGACGGCCUCUUAGGUCAGGGGACAUUGGACUCAAUGAAUGAGGUGUGAGGAUACCUGGGGGAAGAUUGUACCAAGCAGAGGGAAUAGCAUGUGCAAAGGCCCUGAGGUGGUAGGUUGAUGGUGUGUUCAGUGCUAAGAAUGCAGUUUGGCUGCAGGGAAAGUAAGAGGGGAAAAUGAUGGGACCUGAGAGCAGAGAGAUAGGGAAGUCAGACCAGGGAGGAUAUUGCAGAUCCUGGAAAGGACUUCAGAGUUUUAUUCUGAGGAGAUGGGAGCUGUCAGUUUUGGAGAUCAUGAUCUAACAUAUAAGAGACAUCUGACAGCUAUUUCAAUAAUGGACUGAGAGUGAGGGGAGAAGCAGGAAGACCAGAAAGGAGGCAACUUGUGGUGAGCCGCUUCUGCCGUUUCUGCAGACUAUGGUCGCCAUUACAAGAUGACGCUGGCUUCACUGUGGUCUGUGACAAACAACUUCUUAUCUGGGAAAGUUGGCACAUGAUUUUUCACCACCCUGUGAGAAAGCUCCACGCGGCAGCUUUGCAUUGGGGCUUGGGAUGCUUUAUUAAGGCUGGGAGGGGCAUCCGAGAGAGAGAAGAAGAAAUAUCCAGGGCCUGAAUAAACUGUUGAAAGAAGAUUCCCGAGUUGCGUCUUCCUUGCGGGCAAGGGGUCGCGACAGCAACUGAAUAGUCUUCCAGAACAUGCAAACAGGAUGGUAACAGUGGAAGCUGUCAACAGUGGUAUUUUUGGCACAUUUUGAAGGUAAGACCAGCAGGAUGUGCUAAGGAUUCAACAGCAGGUAUAAACAACUCUGAAAAGCUGAAAAUGACAUUGAUGGGGAGUAGCAUGGCCUACUGCAAUGGUCCUUGCAGCCAUCUGGGGAAUGGAGAAGACUGUCAGUGCUUGGCCUACCUCCUGGGAAGUCUGGCUUUAUUCUGUGGUAGAACCCUACAUUGUAUUGUUUGAAAGCUUCUCCAGGAGACAGAACCACUGGGAGAGUACAAAAAGCACCGGUUACGAAUCAGACCACCUGAGUGUGAAUCUCUCCUCUGCCAUUUCCUAGAAUGUGACUUCAGGUAAGUUAUUUAGGUUUUGUUGCUGUUGUGAUUGAUUGAUUGGUACUGGGGAUUGAACUCAGGGGCACUCCACCACUGAGCCACAUCCCCAGUCCUAUUUUUUAUUUUAUUUAGAGACAGAGUCUCACUGAGCUGCUAAGGCUGGCUUUGAACUCG
rnacentral:lncRNA from 1 species